rfam:TPA: Bos taurus chromosome 19, whole genome shotgun sequence.
UCCCUGGUGGCUCAGAUGGUAAAAGCAUGUGCCUACAAAGCAGGAGACCCGGGUUUGGUCCCUGGCUAGGGAA